rnacentral:rRNA from 1 species
AGCAGUAGCCACGGUAAUACGGAGGGUGCAAGCGUUAAUCGGAAUUACUGGGCGUAAAGCGCACGCAGGCGGUCUGACAUGUCAGAUGUGAAAUCCCCGGGCUCAACCUGGGACCUGCAUUUGUGACUGUAUAGCUAGAGUACGGUAGAGGGGGAUGGAAUUCCGCGUGUAACAGUGAAAUGCGUAGAUAUGCGGAGGAACACCGAUGGCGAAGGCAAUCCCCUGGACCUGUACUGACGCUCAUGCACGAAAGCGUAGGGAGCAAACAGGAUUAGAUACCCCGGUAGUCCCUGUCUCUUAUAC